rnacentral:rRNA from 1 species
UGGCGGCGUGCUUAACACAUGCAAGUCGAACGCGAAAGGGACUUCGGUCCUGAGUAAAGUGGCGCACGGGUGAGUAACGCGUAGAUAACCUGUCUUCAUGUCUGGAAUAAUACGCCGAAAGGGAUACUAAUACCGGAUAUUCUUGCUUUUCAUAAGUUAUGCAAGCAAAGGUGGCCUCUGCAUAUGCUACUGCAUGAAGAGGGGUCUGCGUACCAUUAGCUAGUAGGUGGGGUAAUGGCCUACCUAGGCGACGAUGGUUAGCGGGUCUGAGAGGAUGAUCCGCCACACUGGCACUGGAACACGGGCCAGACUCCUACGGGAGGCAGCAGUGAGGAAUAUUGCGCAAUGGGGAAACCCUGACGCAGCGACGCCGCGUGAGUGAAGGAAGGCCUUCGGGUCGUAAAGCUCUGUCAAGAGGAAAGAAGUGUACAAUGGCUAAUACCUGUUGUAUUUGACGGUACCUCUAAAGGAAGCACCGGCUAACUCCGUGCCAGCCGCAGC